rnacentral:rRNA from 1 species
UAAGGAAUAUUGCGCAAUGGGGGAAACCCUGACGCAGCAACGCCGCGUGGAGGAUGACACUUUUCGGAGCGUAAACUCCUUUUAUCAGGAAAGAAUAAUGACGGUACCUGAUGAAUAAGCACCGGCUAACUCCGUGCCAGCAGCCGCGGUAAUACGGGGGGUGCAAGCGUUACUCGGAAUCACUGGGCGUAAAGGACGCGUAGGCGGAUUAUCAAGUCUUUUGUAAAAUCUAGUGGCUUAACCACUAAACUGCUUAGGAAACUGAUAGUCUAGAGUAGGGGAGAGGUAGAUGGAAUUCUUGGUGUAGGGGUAAAAUCCGUAGAGAUCAAGAAGAAUACCCAUUGCGAAAGCGAUCUGCUGGAACCUAACUGACGCUGAGGCGUGAAAGCGUGGGUAGCAAACAGG